rfam:Gossypium hirsutum cultivar TM-1 chromosome 15, whole genome shotgun sequence
AGGCAGCCUACUUGCCUUAAAUCGCCAUGGCAAUGCGGGUGUUAAACUGCUCGUAUAAUAAACAUUGCUUUUGCUCUUCAGUCUUGCUGAGAUUUAUUUAUUGUUCAUUGAAGCUGGACUAGUAAGCCUAAGCACAUU